rnacentral:lncRNA from 1 species
AUAUUGUCGUUUUAAUAUGGAACACGUACACAUAUGCGAAACGUCUAACGCUGGUGUCCGAAGUGGUAAAAAUAUUAGUGUGCGAUGUUGUCAAUGUACGGAGUGUCUUGUAUCCACUGCGGCAGGCCCUCCAGGGGCCACCAGACGCGACACUCGCCCUCGCUCACCUCUCUCACGCCCUCACGCUACACCGCCAUCUAUCUUCUGAUCCAGCUACUGCUUCACCCCCGCCCAGCCUGCCAUCUAUCUUCUGAUCCAGCUGCUCCUUCACCCCUGCCCAGCCUGCCAUCUAUCUUCUGAUCCAGCUACUGCUUCACCCCUGCCCAGCCUGCCAUCUAUCUUCUGAUCCAGCUGCUCCUUCACCCCCGCCCAGCCUGCCAUCUAUCUUCUGAUCCAGCUACUGCUUCACCCCUGCCCAGCCUGCCAUCUAUCUUCUGAUCCAGCUGCUCCUUCACCCCUGCCCAGCCUGCCAUCUAUCUUCUGAUCCAGCUGCUCCUUCACCCCUGCCCAGCCUGCCAUCUAUCUUCUGAUCCAGUCACUACUUCACCCCACCCAGCCUGCCGCCAUUUAUCCAUUACACCAGAAAACACCUACUUGAACUGUUGAACUUGUAAUAGCUUUUGGCCCUUCCUUCAAAAAAAAAAAAAAAAAAAUGUAAACGGCAUCAUAGACGUCUAUGCAACAGCAACAAAUACAUUGUUCAAAAAUUACAACAAUUCAAAAUGAACAUUUAUUUACGACGAUUCAAUAAUUUGUUAGCGUUUUGUCCCGAGGCUUGACACCUUUUUAAUGACAAUUUUUGCUAUGUCUGUUGAAAUGUCUAUGCAGUUACCACUUUGAUCAGAAAUAACCAGUGUUGAUCAGUCAGCCAUGUUCUCCGAGAAGUUCUUGUUGAUUUCAUGAAGGAAAAUAACUUCAUACACAUAUGGUGUUCAAAAGAUGAGAAAUCACUUAAGGUGGCAGUUUAAAUUAUAAAACCUGCAAUUUUGGCCAUUAAAUGACCAAAUUACAGUAGGAGGCCUAGGCAAUGACCGGGCUGCAUGGGGACGCUAAGCCCUGAAACCAACUCAACUGCUUAAAUAAAUGGCACUGUAAUAGGAUAAAAAAAACUACAAAUACAUAAAAAAUCUUAAUGUACUUUUAAUUUCAUUCUGGUUUCAUAUUUCACUAAAUUUACAGUUUAUAAAAUUAUUACAUAUCAUACUAACACUAAAUUAAAUGCAUUUGUGCAAAACUGUAGGUCUUAGUAUCAAAACACACUAGUUACAUUACAUUACAGCAAUGUCUUUGAACAGGUAACACAUAACUAUAUUACAAAUAGGUGUGGUAGGAAAGACAUUAACUGGAAAUAAUACUGCCAUACAAAUACUGUACCAAGAUAAAGACUAAAUUAAUAAAAAUAAUGUCAUGAGAUAUUAUUAGCCCAUUUUUGAGAUUCUAUUGUUUUAUUUACUCUCAUAAAUGCAGUACUUUUGUGACCUUGUACUAAUAUUAUUUACAUGUACAAAAUACUAUAAAGUAAAUAUUCUUGUACAUUUUAAAGCUGUUCACUUUAUACCUUGAGCUGCCCACAUCUAAAUAUAAAUAAGAUUUAAGUUUUAAAGAAUACCUUGACUGAGAGGCAUAAAUUGUCAUUAACCAAUAAGCUUGCCUAAUCUAUGAUAACCUAAUAAACUUGAAAUCCAUGGAUGUGUGUGUGUAUCCAUCACACAUUUUACAAGGCAGUGAAUGGCUUGAAUUGCAAGAAACAACUCGAUAUUAUGACCUCUCAAGACAUGCACUACGAGGUCUGGUGAGCUCGUUGGCUGGUGCAGAAUGGGUUGCAUCUCGUGGCUGGGCGUGUCCAAGGUGCUGUAGAGUGGCGGUGCGGAUGGUAUGGGCACAGUGGGACUUGCCGGUGCACCUUCUACAGUCAUAGACACCUUUCCAACUGGAACUGUACCUAUUGUGAUGUUCUGUUUGACACUGGCCGUGGAACAGAAACCCAUUGAAAAUGUUAUCUGAAAGAAAACAGUAGCAUCUGUUGGCUCACUUCAUGUAAGGUAAUCUCAGCCGACUCUAUGUGCCACCCUGCACGGUUAGUGACUUCUCCCGUCAGCAGCACGUAUUCUCCAGGUAUAUAGUCGGUCUUUUCAGCACACAACGAUAUAAUGACUGGCCCUUGUUCACAGCAACAACAACACACACUCUGCUCCUUGUGAAACAUCAAUGAGUCCUGUUGGUAA